rnacentral:tRNA from 1 species
GGAUUGUGGCUCAGCGGUAGAGCGCUCCCUAGCACGUGCGAGGCCCUGGGUUCAAUCCUCAGCACCA